UACAGAGGUCCCAAGCGUUGUUCGGAUUCACUGGGCGUAAAGGGUGCGUAGGUGGCUUGAAAAGUUUGAUGUGAAAGCUCAGGGCUUAACCCUGAAAUGGCAUUGAAUACUGUCGAGCUGGAGGUUUGGAGGGGGGACUGGAAUUCUUGGUGUAGCAGUGAAAUGCGUAGAUAUCAAGAGGAACACCAGUGGCGAAGGCGAGUCCCUGGACAACACCUGACACUGAGGCACGAAAGCUAGGGGAGCAAACAGG
rnacentral:rRNA from 1 species